AGGACGAACGCUGGCGGCGUGCUUAACACAUGCAAGUCGAGCGGAAAGGCCCUUCGGGGUACUCGAGCGGCGAACGGGUGAGUAACACGUGAGCAACCUGCCCUUAGCUUCGGGAUAGCUCCGGGAAACCGGAAUUAAUACCGGAUAUGACUAUGGCCGACAUCAGCCAUGGUGGAAAGUUUUUCGGCUAGGGAUGGACUCGCGGCCUAUCAGCUAGUUGGUGAGGUAACGGCUCACCAAGGCGACGACGGGUAGCCGGCCUGAGAGGGCGACCGGCCACACUGGGACUGAGACACGGCCCAGACUCCUACGGGAGGCAGCAGUGGGGAAUAUUGCGCAAUGGGCGAAAGCCUGACGCAGCGACGCCGCGUGGGGGAUGAAUGCCUUCGGGUUGUAAACCCCUUUCAGCAGGGACGAAGCGAAGUGACGGUACCUGCAGAAGAAGCGCCGGCUAACUACGUGCCAGCAGCCGC
rnacentral:rRNA from 1 species